UUGUGGUUAAAAAGCUCGUAGUUGGAUCUCGGCGGACUGAGGGCGGUUUGCUUGCUAGUAUUACUGCCCUAUAGUCCGUAGUUUUGCCAGAGGUUUCGGGGUGCUCUUAAUCGAGUGUCCCGGGAUGCUGGCAGGUUUACUUUGAAAAAAUUAGAGUGCUCAAAGCAGGCUAUUACGCCUGAAUAUUCGUGCAUGGAAUAAUAGAAUAGGAAGUCGUUUCUAUUUUGUUGGUUUUCGGAAAUCGACUUAAUGAUUAAUAGGGACAGUCGGGGGCAUUUGUAUUCAAACGACAGAGGUGAAAUUCUUGGACCGUUUGAAGACAAACUACUGCGAAAGCAUUUGCCAAGAAUGUUUUCAUUAAUCAAGAACGAAAGUUAAAGGUUCGAAGGCGAUUAGAUACCGCCCUAGUUUUAACCAUAAACGAUGCCAGCUAGCGAUCUGCGGACGUUUUUUUUGUAGACUCCGCAGGAAGCUUCCGGGAAACCAAAGCAUUUGGGUUCCAGGGGAAGUAUGGUUGCAAAGCUGAAACUUAAAGGAAUUGACGGAAGGGCACCACCAGGAGUGGAGCCUGUGGCUUAAUUUGACUCAACAC
rnacentral:rRNA from 1 species